rnacentral:rRNA from 1 species
GACGUAGGGCGCGAGCGUUGUCCGGAUUUAUUGGGCGUAAAGAGCUCGUAGGCGGCUUGUCGCGUCGACUGUGAAAUCCCGCGGCUCAACCGCGGGUCUGCAGUCGAUACGGGCAGACUAGAGUGCGGUAGGGGAGACUGGAAUUCCUGGUGUAGCGGUGAAAUGCGCAGAUAUCGGGAGGAACACCCGUAGCGAAGGCGGCACUCUGGGCCGGAACUGACGCUGAGGAGCGAAAGCGUGGGGAGCAAACAGGG